rnacentral:tRNA from 1 species
UCCUCCAAUCCUGAAGAUGUGAUGCUGGCUGAAGAAGAAAUGAGGCAGCGCUAUUUCUUCCCUGAUGUACAGGUUC